CCCUUAGACGUUCUGGGCCGCACGCGCGCUACACUGACCGGUGCAACAAGCAUCCGUCCUUGGCCGACAGGCCCGGGCAAUCUUUGAACGCCGGUCGUGAUGGGGAUAGACUUUUGCAAUUUUUGGUCUUCAACGAGGAAUUCCUAGUAAACGCAAGUCAUCAACUUGCAUUGAUUACGUCCCUGCCCUUUGUACACACCGCCCGUCGCACCUACCGAUUGAAUGGUCCGGUGAAGCCUCCGGAUUGGCGCGCACCUCGGUGCCGCCGAGAAGUUGGCUAAACCUUNCNAUUUAUNGGAAGGUGAANUCGUANCA
rnacentral:rRNA from 1 species